rnacentral:rRNA from 1 species
AAACAGCCAUUGUUUCUGAUCUUUCCCUACUUGGAUAACGCUAAUACAUGCUCCACGUUCUGACCUCACGGGAUGAGCGCAUUUUAGAACAAAACCAAUCGCUGCGUCUGGUGGAUCUGAAUAACUCAGCGUAUGGCUCGACCACGUAUCUU